rnacentral:rRNA from 1 species
CCUACGGGAGGCUGCAGUGAGGAAUAUUGGUCAAUGGGCGCGAGCCUGAACCAGCCAAGUAGCGUGAAGGAUGACUGCCCUACGGGUUUUAAACUUCUUUUAUAAAGGAAUAAAGUGAGGCACGUGUGCCUUUUUGUCUGUACUUUAUGAAUACGGAUCGGCUAACUCCGUGCCAGCAGCCGCGGUAAUACGGAGGAUCCGGGCGUUAUCCGGAUUUAUGGGGUUUAAAGGGAGCGUAGAUGGGUUGUUAAGUCAGUUGUGAAAGUUUGCGGCUCAACCGUAAAAUUGCAAGUGAUACGGGCAGUCUUGAGUACAGGUGAGGUAGGUGGAAUUCGUGGUGUAGCGGUGAAAUGCUUAGAUAUCACGCAGAACUCCGAUCGCGAAGGCAGCCUACCGGCGCGCAACUGACGCUCAUGCACGAAAGCGUGGGUAGCGAACAGGAUUAGAUACCCGUGUAGUC